CCCGCCAAUUCAAAUUGACGAUCGUUUUCUCUAUCGCUCUCUUCUCUCUGUUUGGGUAUUUCAAAAUCCAUAAUCGCCAUAGCUUCUGUAAGUUCAGCUCAAAAAUCUGUAAUCAACAUUCAGAAAUUUUCAUUCGAUUCGUCAUUCAUCAUAUCAGUAGCUAAGAUAUGUCAAAAAUUUGAGAUCUCACGCGGAUUGAAAUUAACCGUGAGAGUUCUGUUAGUUCUCUCAAUAGAAGGUUCCUGAUGCCAAUAGUGGCAAUGAACAAGCAACACAAGUGCCCCGAAUGCUAUUAGUGACAGCAAAUUCUUUCUUCUCGCAAGCAUUCUCUGCACCACAUUGCCACUUUAUGCUGCUGGAUCCGUUAAAUGCCCAUGGUCCAAUCUCAGAAUCCCAGACAUUGUCACCAUUUGCUCGGGACAUGAACAUUGACAAAUCAAAACCCUUUUUGGGUGUUAGGUAUUUGCUUUGCUGAGGAUAAAUAUGAAGAACAAGAGCAUAAUUUUGAAACCUUAAAAGGCAAGCAUGGAUGUGAUUAAAGCAAAAGGCAAGAUUAGACAAUUAUAGAAAAAAGAAGAGUAAAAAUGAAUGAGCAUUUUUAUCAAUAUAAUGUGGUAUGCCUAUUAUAAAAUUUGGCGAAUUCAUACUUAUUGAGAAUUUUAAUUUGAUUUAUGAUUUCAAAAAUUAAUAUUUAU